rnacentral:piRNA from 1 species
AGGAAAUUAAGAGAAAAAAUU